AAUGAACGCUGGCGGCAUGCCUAACACAUGCAAGUCGAACGAAGGCUUCGGCCUUAGUGGCGCACGGGUGCGUAACGCGUGGGAAUCUGCCCCUUGGUUCGGAAUAACAGUUAGAAAUGACUGCUAAUACCGGAUGAUGACGUAAGUCCAAAGAUUUACCGCCGAGGGAUGAGCCCGCGUAGGAUUAGCUAGUUGGUGUGGUAAGAGCGCACCAAGGCGACGAUCCUUAGCUGGUCUGAGAGGAUGAUCAGCCACACUGGGACUGAGACACGGCCCAGACUCCUACGGGAGGCAGCAGUGGGGAAUAUUGGACAAUGGGCGAAAGCCUGAUCCAGCAAUGCCGCGUGAGUGAUGAAGGCCUUAGGGUUGCAAAGCUCUUUUACCCGGGAUGAUAAUGACAGUACCGGGUGAAUAAGCUCCGGCUAACUCCGUGCCAGCCGCCGCCGUAA
rnacentral:rRNA from 1 species